UUUCCGUAGGUGAACCUGCGGAAGGAUCAUUAUCGUACAAAAUGUGAGGGGCAUGCGAGGGCUGUCGCUGACUCAAAAGUCGUGCACGCCCGAGUGUGUCCUCUUGCAUAAUAAUCCAUCUCACCCUUUGUGCAUCACCGCGUGGGCACCCUUCGGGAUCAUCUCGGAGGGGGGCUCGCGUUUUCACACAAACCCCCCUUUUAAAAGUGUAGAAUGACCACAUUUAUGCAAUCAAUACAACUUUCAACAACGGAUCUCUUGGCUCUC
rnacentral:misc_RNA from 1 species